UGAGGAAUAUUGGUCAAUGGGCGCAAGCCUGAACCAGCCAUCCCGCGUGCAGGAAGACGGCGCUAUGCGUUGUAAACUGCUUUUCCAGGGGGAGAAACUUGCGCACGUGUUGCGCAAUUGACGGUACUCUGGGAAUAAGCAUCGGCUAACUCCGUGCCGGCAGCCGCGGUAAUACGGAGGAUGCGAGCGUUAUCCGGAUUCAUUGGGUUUAAAGGGUGCGUAGGCGGACUAUUAAGUCAGUGGUGAAAUCCUGCAGCUUAACUGCAGAACUGCCAUUGAUACUGAUAGCCUUGAGUUUGGUUAAGGUAGGCGGAAUGUGUAAUGUAGCGGUGAAAUGCUUAGAUAUUACACAGAACACCAAUUGCGUAGGCAGCUUACUGAGCCGACACUGACGCUGAGGCACGAAAGCGUGGGGAUCGAACAG
rnacentral:rRNA from 1 species